GCACUUCUGUGAGUACUGCACAGGUGGAAGUUCUCUGGCUUUCAAUGUUUGCACAGUAAAUUCAAUGUCAGCAUGUACAGACAGCAGAUGUCAGAGGAGUUAGAGGUAAAUAGCCUUUCUUUUUGAAGUUUCUAGAGCGAGAUGCAAAGCCGAGGGAUUUCUUUGAGUUUUUGCCCUGUCGUGAGUUGGCAGGUGGCUUGGGAGGAGGUAGUCCCCAGUCGUCUGGCAGUGCCAGCAAUGAGCUUUGAACCACGUAAGCUUUUGGAAGCUAGGGAACGUAUCUGCUGGAGACUUAAGAGUCCCAUUCUCUCUGUGGCUGCCAAUGAUAUUUUUUGGUGAUGUGCUUUAUUUUUAUUUGAUUAUUAAAAGUCAAGUUAGGUGUCUCAAUCCCUUCGUUAGUGUAUCCGAGGAAGCUAAAAAUACCCGACUCCCCUAGGAAAAAAAAAUUCUGAACUAUCCAGAAGAACACCCCACCCAUUUUCUUUUCCUUCCCUAAAAUGUGGAGUAUUCUUGAAGUAUCCAAAUAAGAGCCCAGAUCUCGAGAAACUAUUGAUUAGGUGACAGAAAGCCAAUGACAGGUCUAGCAUGACUUCUGCUGUCAAUAACAAGUGUACAAAUUGAGAAAUUGGCUGUUACAGUGACAAAGUCAAAAAUUCUAGUGGAAAAGAAAUUGUUAAGGAAAGCUUGGGAAAACCACUCUGUACGAAGGAUUUGGGGAGCUGAAUUCAAAGGCAGUCAGUCAGAACAUGGCUGGUAGUGCUCGUCAGGAACCACAAAUUCUACUCCUCAGGAAAUUCCUGUAUCUUUCAAAACUUGUCUAACAUAAAGCAUCUGACUGGAAGAAACCUCUGAGUAAUCCCAAUUUCUGGAUUAUUUUCUUCUUUCUUCUGAAGUGUCAGUCAGUAGCAUUUACCUUGAGAGCAGGAUACUGGCAAGAAUUGAGGAACAGAUGGGUCAAUCUAGCAGGGUAAACCCUUUCGCCACAUAUGAACGCCAAUUGUGAGCAGAGUGAGCCUGUCAUGCAAGAGCUGAGGUCCAGUGGAGAAUGCGGCGAUGAUCGCAAGUUUGAAUGGCUGGAGGACUGUUCUUCCCGACUCUGUCUCAAUCUUAGAGAAAUCUGUCACUUUGAAUGAAACUUGACUGGCACCUUCCCAGCAGAGAAACAGUCCGAAGUCUGCAGCUUCCAAUGAAAUGCCGUCUCAGAAGUGCUGCAAAAGAAGUACAGCAAGAGAAAGACUAUCAUCUCUUCUUGAACACGACUUACCAUCCUUAUGUCGAAGACAGAGAAGCCUUCUCAUCGUAUAACAGCAAAAGGAGGAAGAGUGGAUUCAACACAUGAGCUGUUACGUGCACUGCAUACUCUACAAGGUACUGAUAGGAAGCCUGAAAAUUAGUACUCCAUCCCAGAAGAACAGUUUUUCAGAUUAUUAGACCUUCGUAUGGCCCCAACUGAGGGCGAAAGACAAUCAAAUGUAUUUAAUGCUCACAUUAAUUUAUCUGAGGAUAGUUUUUAUCUAAUGCAAACCUAGAUUUCCCCCCCCCCCCCAGUAAGUAUUUACAAAUGCAUUUUUUUAAGAUGUUAGGUAUUUCUGCAUGUUCAGUGGGACCGCUACCUUUGCUUAACC